rnacentral:rRNA from 1 species
UACGGAGGGAGCUAGCGUUGUUCGGAAUUACUGGGCGUAAAGCGCGCGUAGGCGGUUACUCAAGUCAGAGGUGAAAGCCCGGGGCUCAACCCCCGGAACUGCCUUUGAAACUAGGUGACUAGAAUCUUGGAGAGGUCAGUGGAAUUCCGAGUGUAGAGGUGAAAUUCGUAGAUAUUCGGAAGAACACCAGUGGCGAAGGCGACUCACUGGACACGUAUUGACGCUGAGGUGCGAAAGCGUGGGGAGCAAACAGG